rnacentral:tRNA from 1 species
UCCCCAGUGGUCCAGUGGCUAAGGCACUGCAUUCCCAAUGCAAGGGGUCCAGGUUCAAUCCCUGGUCAGGGAA